GACGAACGCUGGCGGCGUGCUUAACACAUGCAAGUCGAGCGGUGAACCUCUUCGGAGGGGAUCAGCGGCGAACGGGUGAGUAACACGUGGGCAACCUGCCCCAGACACCGGGAUAACCCAGGGAAACCUGAGCUAAUACCGGAUACUCCGCGCAGAUCGCAUGAUCUGUUCGGGAAAGCUCCGACGGUCUGGGAUGGGCCCGCGGCCUAUCAGCUUGUUGGCGGGGUAACGGCCCACCAAGGCGACGACG
rnacentral:rRNA from 1 species